UACGUAGGGACCAAGCGUUGUCCGGAAUUAUUGGGCGUAAAGAGCUCGUAGGCGGCUGUCCACGUCGGGUGUGAAAGCUCAGGGCUCAACCCUGAGAUGCCAUUCGAUACGGGACGGCUAGAGGUAGGUAGGGGAAAGUGGAAUUCCUGGUGUAGCGGUGAAAUGCGUAGAUAUCGAGAGGAACACCUGCGGCGAAGGCGGGUUGCUGGGCUGACACUGACGCUGAAGCGCGAAAGCUAGGGGAGCGAACGGG
rnacentral:rRNA from 1 species